AUGGGAAAGGAAUCAAAGAAGAAGAAGUACAAAGAUGAUGAUUCUGAUGAUUCAAAGAAGAAGAAGAAAUCCUCAAAGUCUUCAUCAUCAGAAUCCUCAAAGUCUUCAUCUCACAAGAAGAGCAGCUCCAAGAAGGCCCGGGCAUUCAUUGGCAAAGAAAUGGACUCUGAAGCGGAAUCUAAGGAUAAUGUGGAAGAGGAGGAAUCUGACUCUGGUGUGGCUAGCCUAGCCCUCGCUACUACGUACAUCAGCAAGUCCAUAUUCAACAAUGAAGAAAAUGACUGCCCCGACUCUGCUAACAUGGGCAACAGUGACUAUGCUCCCACCUAUUGCUCCAUGGAAAAAGGUGCCAAGGUACUCAAGCAUUCCCCCUCUGACUCAAGUGAGGAUGAAUCUGAUGACAAUCUUAAGCUUAGCUAUUCAAAACUUGCUAAAAUUGCUAUUAAACAACAGAAGGCUUUAGAAAAGAUUCAAAAUCAACUAGACAGAAGCGAUAACCUGUUGGGCGAGGAAUUGAAUCGAACUAAGACUCUGACAGAUAAUCUUCAGAGAUUUCAAACUUGGUUUGACAACCUUCAAAGUCAUCAUAACACUCUCUUAACUGAUCACGAGACGCUUUCUUAUGAAUUUCUUCAGAAAAAGCAAGAUCUUGAGACGUUAAAAGCAAGUUAUGAAGAUCUUCAGAAGGAAAACGAUUCAUUGCUUGCUCAAUAG
rnacentral:rRNA from 1 species